UGGGGCCCUAACUGGACAAACUUGCUG
rnacentral:piRNA from 1 species